rnacentral:lncRNA from 1 species
CACGAUGAAAAUAUUGAUUGUCUCCCAUAUGCUUUAUUGUUAAUCUACCAAGGAGCCAAUAUUACCAUGUCUUCUCCUUUGUAUAAAAAUGCCGUGCAGAUUCCAUCUUAGUCCACGAUAUCCUUGCACUAUUAUUAUUAUCACAUCAUUCAGUCGUGCAAGUGAAAGGCAAUAAUGAUGAUAUUGGAUGACGUGAUCACGACAAAGGAAGCUGGUAUGAACUCUUCUUCUUUUCCGUUUUUGCAAAUAUGUUUUCCUCUAUGAAGGGCC